AUUGAACGCUGGCGGCAGGCCUAACACAUUCAAGUCGAACGAGUGGCGGACGGGUGAGUAAUGUCUGGGAAACUGCACGAUGUAGGGGGAUAACUACUGGAAACGGUAGCUAAUACCGCAUACCAUCGGAGGUGCCCAGAUGGGAUUAGCUAGUAGUUGGGGUAACGGCUCACCUAGGCGACGAUCCCUAGCUGGUCUGAGCGGAUGACCAGCCACACUGGAACUGGGACCCGGUCCAGACGCCUACGGGUGUCAGCAGUGGGGAAGAUUGCACAAUGGGCGCAAGCCUGAUGCAGCCAUGCCGCGUGUAUGAAGAAGGCUUUCGGGUUGUAAAGUACUUUCAGCGAGGAGGCGUUACUCGCAGAAGAAGCACCGGCUAACUCCGUGCCAGCAGCCGCGGUAAUAC
rnacentral:rRNA from 1 species